rnacentral:rRNA from 1 species
AGCACAGGUUUACCUGUGUGACUGCGUACCUUUUGUAUAAUGGGUCAGCGACUUAUAUUCUGUAGCAAGGUUAACCGAAUAGGGGAGCCGGAGGGAAACCGAGUCUUAAUUGGGCGUUAAGUUGCAGGGUAUAGACCCGAAACCCGGUGAUCUAGCCAUGGGCAGGUUGAAGGUUGGGUAACACUAACUGGAGGACCGAACCGACUAAUGUUGAAAAAUUAGCGGAUGACCUGUGGCUGGGGGUGAAAGGCCAAUCAAACCGGGAGAUAGCUGGUUCUCCCCGAAAGCUAUUUAGGUAGCGCCUCGUGAAUUCAUCUCCGGGGGUAGAGCACUGUUUCGGCUAGGGGGCCAUCCCGGCUUACCAACCCGAUGCAAACUGCGAAUACCGGAGAAUGUUAUCACGGGAGACACACGGCGGGUGCUAACGUCCGUCGUGAAGAGGGAAACAACCCAGACCGCCAGCUAAGGUCCCAAAGUCAUGGUUAAGUGGGAAACGAUGUGGGAAGGCCCAGACAGCCAGGAUGUUGGCUUAGAAGCAGCCAUCAUUUAAAGAAAGCGUAAUAGCUCACUGGUCGAGUCGGCCUGCGCGGAAGAUGUAACGGGGCUAAACCAUG